CACCACUCAAGCCUGGCUUGGUAUUGGGCCCCCGGGGAGCGACCCGGGCCCGGAAAUCUUCGGCUGGACGACCCGAUUCUCAGCGUUGUGGCAAUCAAUUCGCCGACGAGGAGGGGAGGCCGCGCCGGUAAACAUCAUUAAGG
rnacentral:misc_RNA from 1 species